rnacentral:rRNA from 1 species
UACGUAGGGUCCGAGCGUUGUCCGGAAUUAUUGGGCGUAAAGAGCUCGUAGGCGGUCCGUUAAGUCGGAAGUGAAAUCUCAAGGCUCAACCUUGAAAUCGCUUUCGAUACUGGCGGACUUGAGGCAGGUAGGGGAAGGUGGAAUUCCUGGUGUAGCGGUGAAAUGCGCAGAUAAUCAGGAGGAACACCGGUGGCGAAGGCGGCUUCCUGGGCCGCGCC